CCCAGUUCCAUACUGGGAUCACUGGUCUCUCAGGGCUCCCCAGGCUCCCCAGUCUCCCCAGCGCCGUUCCCAGUCCCAUUCCCAGUUCCAUACUGGUCGCACUGGUCUCCAUUCCCAGUCCCGUACUGGUCGCACUGGUCUCCAUUCCCAGUUCCAUACUGGUCGCACUGGUCUCUCAGGUCUCUCAGGGCUCCCCAGUCUCCC